GAUGAACGCUGGCGGCGUGCCUAAUACAUGCAAGUCGAGCGAACAGACGAGGAUCUUGCUCCUCUGACGUUAGCGGCGGACGGGUGAGUCACACGUGGAGCACCUACCUAUAAGACUGGGAUAACUUAGGGAAACCGGUGCUACUACCGGAUAAUAUAUUGAACCGCAGGGUUCAAUGGUGAAAGACGGUUUUGUUGUCCCAUAUAGAUGGAUCUGCGCCGCAUUAGCUAGUUGGUAAGGUAACGGCUUACCAAGGCAACGAUGCGUAGCCGACCUGAGAGGGUGAUCGGCCACACUGGAACUGAGACACGGUCCAGACUCCUACGGGAGGCAGCAGUAGGGAAUCUUCCGCAAUGGGCGAAAGCUUGACGGAGCAACGCCGCGUGAGUGAUGAAGGUCUUCGGAUCGUAAAACUCUGUUAUUAGGGAAGAACAAAUGUGUAAGUAACUAUGCACGUCUUGACGGUACCUAAUCAGAAAGCCACGGCUAACUACGUG
rnacentral:rRNA from 1 species